rnacentral:rRNA from 1 species
UUACGGUCAAAUCACGCUGAAACACCGGUUCUCGUUCGAUCACCGAAGUUAAGCAGCGUAGAGCCAGGUCAGUACUUAGAUGGGGGACCGCUUGGGAACACCUGGUACUGUAAG